GAUGGGUGUUUUGAAUUUGGAAAUCCAGGCUUCUCUAUCCCUUACAAAGGAGCAGAGCGAUUGGUAUUCCUCUCAGGUCCAUUCUUGUGGCUGCUGACCUUGCAGUCCUGUCAGUGAGGGAGCACUUGAUACAGAGGAUAACAAAAAUGUUCUCACUUGUGCGAAUAGCUUCUCCGUGUCUCCCUCUCCUUAAUUAGUGAUCUCGGUGCCAUCUUAACACAUUUUAGACGCCAAUCCUCUGUAUGGCCUGAGCCUAAUAUGUCUGUUCGAUUCGCAGCCCCUCACCUCCCCCAGUAUUUCAUCUCCUGGCUCCCACUGAACUCUUAUUUCACUUCACCUCCACCUCCAGCCCCUCAGCUCUUCAUUCGGUCUCCUCUGCUUCCCUGUCUAGGCCCGUCCCUCCAUCAAGCUAUGUUGGAUUUUUUCUUGCUGGCAUACCACAUGCCCUUGCUCCCUGAAAUUCCCCGGCAUGCCACUUGUCUGUUGUCCAUCCAAGAUCAAUUCCUUUGUCUGCUUACUCUGCCCCUACUCACAGGCAACAGCUCUUUGGGGGCUGCUAGAGGUUCAGCCUCCCAAGCUCCUUUCCAGCCUCCACAGUCUUCAGCCAAGCACAUCACUCACUGCCACCUGCCUCUUCCCCCACCUCCAGAACUGAAUGGUCCAGGCAUAGGAAACCAUCCACUACUCCCCUCUGCCUUUCAGAAGUCCCUCUGACACCACUUCUUUCCCCAAAGUGGCAGGCCACCCUACCCUAGAAAUUAGUGCGUCCACUAACCCUCUGUGGUUCUGUGGUUGCCAACCUCUGGAAUCUACAGUGAGCGAGGCUUUCCGGCUUUGGCCUAUUUCUGCUGCCUUGUACGGACGUGGAUAGGUGGAUGAGAAGAAAAGACAAAGUGGGGUUGAGGAUUCCUGACUCCACAUUGGUGCCUAAGCAAACUAUUAAUCCCACAUUCAGUGUUACUUUGCUGUCAAAAAUGAGGUCUACAUUAAACUGUUAAAUCUCUCCUCCUUCUUAAUCUUGACUCUCACUCAUCCAUCCAACUAAUACUGAGUGCCUUCUGUGUGCCUGGCCCCGUGCUAGGGCCUGAGAAUGGAAUGAUGACCCCAAAGUGCUAUGGCUCCUGCCAUCCUAGAACUCACAUCCUAGGGGGGAGAUAGACAAUGAACAGGUAAAAUUGUUAUAAAUGGGUUUAAUGCUUGGAAGCAUCUUUUGACAAGGAAAAACAAGGGGUGAAGAUACUUCAUGGGGUCUGGAAAGAACUUUUCUGAGCUUGGGAAGGCACUUAAGAACUAGGUCAGAGUCUAGUUCUGGUUCUAGGUCUAGCUAUUUCAGUUAGAACUACAAAAGAAGGGGCUGAGGCCCUCCCAUCAGUAGUAGAAUCAGGCAGACUGAGAGCAUGAGGCCCAAUUUUCCAGCACCUGCAGAGUAGAGGGGCUUUAUCCCUGGAGGCCUUGAGUAAAGAACUGCUUUAAACUUCUUGGCAGUCCCCUGAGCAAGACGCAACCUGCAAAAGCAGCCUUGUCUCCAACCUGAGUGGGGCUGCCUAGGCCUAGCCCCUUAGGAAAAUGUUGCUUUUCGUAACUCAUCUGUCCUGUGGGACCAGCCUUUUCAAAUAUGCACAAAGGCCCAUUUCCUUGCCUGUCUGUGGAAAAUGGGUUUACUUAUCUACUAAUAAUAAUCCAUCAGGUUGCCUUUCUCUGUGUUCUCUUGCAGAAGGGAUGCUCAAGAUGCCCCAGAAGAGACACAUACUACAGAUUUAGGAAUUCGCUCCCAAGGCCAGGCCCAGGUGGGGCCUUCCCAGAGGUGAACCAGUGAUAUCUCCAGAAAGAGCCCAUCCUCAAACUGCAGUCCCAGCAUUUCCAUCUGAAAGAUUAAGGCCACAACUGGCUGGAAGGGACACAAGCAGUAGCUGGGCAGGGGACCACCCAGGAAAAGGCCCUGAAUCUUUGAUUCAUCAGGUUUGGCCACUGUCAAGGUCCCUACCGUGGUGUCCUGGAUGAAGCCCUUUCUCUGUUGGUUUGCUGGUGGGAUCAUGAUUAAAUAGAUGCUGCCUCAAUCACCAGAUUGCCUUGUGGCACGUCAUGCCACGCAAAAGUGCACUUCCUCUAUCAACUCCCCUGAUUGAGGUCAGAUGUAAGACACCUUGGUGUUCACCCUGAGGGAAUUGUUUAAUUGGAAACCCAGCCGGCAGCAGUGUGGCCCAAUGGGAGGAGGAGAGGAUUCCCAGUUGCCUGCCUGGGUUUGAGUGAUUCUUUCCCAGCUAUGGGCCCUCGGGCCUGUGAUCAUACCUCUCUCCUCUGAGCCUCCGUUUUCUCAUCUGUCAAUAAGAAUAGUCCCUCAGCUUUUGUUUUGGAUUUAUUGUGAGAGGUAAAAUGAGACAAAGCAUUUUGUAAAACA